UACGUAGGUGGCGAGCGUUGUCCGGAAUUAUUGGGCGUAAAGAGCAUGUAGGCGGUCUUUUAAGUCUGGAGUGAAAAUGCGGGGCUCAACCCCGUAUGGCUUUGGAUACUGGGAGACUUGAGUGCAGGAGAGGAAAGGGGAAUUCCCAGUGUAGCGGUGAAAUGCGUAGAUAUUGGGAGGAACACCAGUGGCGAAGGCGCCUUUCUGGACUGUGUCUGACGCUGAGAUGCGAAAGCCAGGGUAGCGAACGGG
rnacentral:rRNA from 1 species